rnacentral:rRNA from 1 species
CCUACGGGAGGCAGCAGUGGGGAAUCUUGCGCAAUGGGCGAAAGCCUGACGCAGCCAUGCCGCGUGAAUGAUGAAGGUCUUAGGAUUGUAAAAUUCUUUCACCGGGGACGAUAAUGACGGUACCCGGAGAAGAAGCCCCGGCUAACUUCGUGCCAGCAGCCGCGGUAAUACGAAGGGGGCUAGCGUUGCUCGGAAUUACUGGGCGUAAAGGGAGCGUAGGCGGAUAGUUUAGUCAGAGGUGAAAGCCCAGGGCUCAACCUUGGAAUUGCCUUUGAUACUGGCUAUCUUGAGUACGGAAGAGGUAUGUGGAACUCCGAGUGUAGAGGUGAAAUUCGUAGAUAUUCGGAAGAACACCAGUGGCGAAGGCGACAUACUGGUCCGUUAACUGACGCUGAGGCUCGAAAGCGUGGGGAGCAAACAGGAUUAGAUACCCUGGUAGUCCACGCUGUAAACGAUGAGUGNUAGUGUCGGCAUGCAUGCAUGUCGGUGACGCG